rnacentral:rRNA from 1 species
AACGCUAGCUACAGGCUUAACACAUGCAAGUCGCGGGGUAACGAGAGGGAAGCUUGCUUUCCUUGUCGACGACCGGCGCACGGGUGAGUAACGCGUAUCCAACCUGCCCAUUACCACGGGAUACCCCGUCGAAAGGCGGCCUAAUACCGUAUGCAGUCGUCAGAUGACAUCAGAGGACGACGAAAGGAUUGGCGGUAAUGGAUGGGGAUGCGUCUGAUUAGGUAGUUGGAGGGGUAACGGCCCACCAAGCCAUCGAUCAGUAGGGGUUCUGAGAGGAAGGUCCCCCACAUUGGAACUGAGACACGGUCCAAACUCCUACGGGAGGCAGCAGUGAGGAAUAUUGGUCAAUGGGCGCGAGCCUGAACCAGCCAAGUAGCGUGCAGGAUGACGGCCCUAUGGGUUGUAAACUGCUUUUAUAAGGGAAUAAAGUGAGUCUCGUGAGACUUUUUGCAUGUACCUUAUGAAUAAGGACCGGCUAAUUCCGUGCCAGCAGCCGCGGUAAUACGGAAGGUCCGGGCGUUAUCCGGAUUUAUUGGGUUUAAAGGGAGCGUAGGCCGCAAGUCAAGCGUGUUGUGAAAUGCAGGGGCUCAACCUCUGGAUUGCAGCGCGAACUGGCAUGCUUGAGUACGCACGAGGUAGGCGGAAUUUGUGGUGUAGCGGUGAAAUGCUUAGAUAUCACGAAGAACUCCGAUUG